UUUUUAAUUGACAUAGACCAAGUCAUCUA
rnacentral:tRNA from 1 species